GCGCGUUUAAAUAUGCAAACGAUAUUGUCGCGGUGGAAAAUAAUUUGCUACACGGGUAUAAUAUAUUAUAACAUUAUUGUACAUCCGAUAAUAUCAUUAAUAAGCGUAUACAGUUGUGAUAUUUUCAUAAAUCAUCGUAAUCAGAACGCGGUGAUGAAUUAUAAACAUCGACGGCGCGUUUGUGCACGUUUAUUGCGCAGAGUGUUCCGCGCGUUGAACCGCACAGAGAAUCCGUUUUCAAAAGUAUGGAAAACGUGUUAUCGUUUGGUCCGGCCGAGAAUUGUACGCGAUUUAGCCUUUUGAUCUUCGAUAAAAACAAAGAUGUCGUUCGAAAACCAAGAUGGCGUAUUAGUUUUGAAUAGAACCGUAUUUUAAGUGCCGCGCGUGUUCACUACAUAAAUUUAUCGCUCAAAAGUACAACCGGACCAUCUGGGAUUGAAGUUUGGUUUUUGGGAGGCCGAUAGACAAAGAAUACAGCACGACUUACUAUUUUUUUUAAAACCGCAACUUUACAGAUUCGGGUAAAGUGU